rnacentral:lncRNA from 10 species
UCUGUUUUGUCAGAGACUAGAAUUGCAACCCCUGCUUUUUUCUUUUGCUUUCCAUUUGCUUGGUAAUUUUUCCUCCAUCCCUUUAUUUUCAGUCUGCGUGUGUCUUUGCAGGUAGGACCUGGGGAAUGUCUAUCCUCCCUCUCGCCACUAGGACUGCUGGAGCAGAGACACCCACCUGCCAGGGAGACCAAGAAGUAUUCCUUUUGAAGUCCUCUCACAGUGGCAGUCUUUGCACCUAAACAGCUAAUUAAAUAGCAAAUGAGUGCAUUUGGAUUUUGAACAGUGUCACCUGAAUUGCUCUCCUUUUUAGGAGUGUUUUUUUUCCCUAAACAAAACUCAUUAUCAAUAUACUAUAGAAUUCCAGCCACUUUCAAAAUUGAAUUCUGCAAGUGAAUAAACAGAUUCAUAUUCGAAUCAUGAGUGGAUUUUCAACCGUUUCAAAAUGAGGAGAAUCUAUCUCAGAAGACUCAAGACAUUGCUGUGAUUCUAAAAGUAAAAUUAAUACCUGAGUUUAAAACAGCGUGUGUUUUAACUGUAAUGGAGGAGAUACAAAUAGAUAUUAAAAAUCAAUAGUAUAUCAGUCAAAAACAUAACUAAACAGGAG